AACUCCAAGGGGAUAUGUGGUAUAUAUUAAUUUCAGUAGGAAAAAUUGAUAAUCUCCCUUAUAAUUAAUCUAAAUUUUUGUAUAUAUAAAUAUUAUUAUGGUGGGAUUUUCACAUUGCUGUGUGUGGAUACAUUCUUUUUGGUUGGUAUAUGAUUGCGUUGGAUUUAUUUUAGACUUGGAAAUGAUAGUGAUUUGCAAUCGCGCCUGAUGUGUGUAUUUGGAUGCAAGGCGCACAAACGUAUCUAGAAUGACCUAGAAAAACUCAUGUUAUAACUUUGAUCGAUGUUGACUCUGUGGAACGUAGAACAUGAGUUCAAACAGUAAUAGAUCCUGCUAUAAAUAAUAGUGUAUAAGCAUAGUAGGAUAGCAAAUAAUAGAGAAUCGUUGGGUAUAGGUGAUGUCCUAGGGUUUGAUAUAGUGGUAAGCAUGUGAAGACAAAUUGACGAAAUUGAUCCUAAAGAUUGAAUCUAAAGCAAAGUUUCUCCAAAAACUGUAAUUGUGGUGUUUAGAGGAUGGUUUUUUGAGUGAAUUGCAAUUUAAAAAGACUUUAGUGUGUAAAGCAAGCUACAAUAGUAUUUUUCUUGGGGUUUAAGGUAUGAUUUUUUGGGUUUUUGGAUGUCUAAUCAAGAAUUAGGGUUUGUUCUUGGUUAGGGAAUUGGUUGUGUUGAUGGUAGAAUGAUAAUGUCUAUUGGUUCAAUUUUCUUAUGGGCAAAGGAAUGGAAACGAGGAAUGGGGAUUACAUAUUUUAGAUUGGAAAAAAAAAAGAAUGGUUGCAAAGAUUGUUGUUUUAAGGGUUUUUUUUUUUUUUGAGGUAAUCAAUAUGAAAAAGUUGAUGGAUGAAUGACAGAUGCCUAAUAGUAAUAGAGGUCUCUUUUUUUACUGUCUUUAGAUAAACCCUAGCCUUUUAAGUUAUGAAAUUGGGUCAUUAUAAGAUUCCCCUAAUCUUAAUGCUAUAAGGUAGGGAUUUAAGGUUGUAAUUGUGAUUUUUUUUCCCUUCUAUAAUGUGGGUAAAGAAUCACUUUUUGUAAUAGAAAGGAUUUAUGUUCUUGAAAAGGUUGAAUUACUAUUGCUUAGUCGUCAACCUAUCUACCUAGUAGGGGUAGGUUGAGUGCUUGGGGAUUCAAAUCUAAUGAUGAGCUAAUAUGUGAUCAACUCUUGAUAAUCUUCUACCCAUGUGUAUGUAUAACAAUAUACAAUAAAAUUUAAUUAGUUUUAUAUUCUUAUCUAAUAACUACCAAUUGUAUCUUUCUAAAAGGUUAACAAAAAGAUCAGCUAAGUAUUGAAUCCAAAUCUAGCGUUUGGAUGCAAUUAGGGUUUGCAAGAGAUAUUCUAAAAGAUUUUCCUAAUUUACCUGUAACUUGCCCAAGUAUUGGAUGACCUUGUAGUGAAAAUAAAGCGUACGCCUUAAGUUUUAUACGGAUUUGUGCCUUUUAAGCUUGUUGGUUCUCCAUUAACCUAUUCCACACGCAUUCGCUUAUAACCUAAUGUCAACCAAGUGGGUUUAUCUAAAGGUUCAAUGUCUUGGGAGUUAUUAGAAUGUAUUUGUAACAUCCAAAUCACAACCCGUAGUGAUUGCCUUAACAUAGUAGCUUGGGUCCGUCGUGAAAAACAAUGCCUUGUAGGUUGAAUCAGGCCUUUGGACCUAGGAGAGAUUGCUAGCUUUCCCCCUACUGAAAUCAAUAAAUACCAAUUGUCUCCUACCAUUUUCAUAAUAUCCAAUAACUUCCCUAUCACAAAAAAAAAAAAAAAUGAAAAGAAAAUAGGGAUAAAUGGA
rnacentral:lncRNA from 1 species